UACGUAGGGAGCAAGCGUUGUCCGGAUUUAUUGGGCGUAAAGCGUCCGCAGGCGGUUUGGUAAGUCGGGUGUGAAAUCUCCAGGCUCAACCUGGAGCGGCCAUUCGAUACUGCUAUGACUUGAGUCUGGUAGGGGAGUGCGGAAUUCCUGGUGUAGCGGUGAAAUGCGCAGAUAUCAGGAGGAACACCGGUGGCGAAGGCGGCACUCUGGGCCAGUACUGACGCUCAUGGACGAAAGCGUGGGGAGCAAACAGG
rnacentral:misc_RNA from 1 species